GACGAACGCUGGCGGCGUGCUUAACACAUGCAAGUCGAACGGAAAGGCCCUGCUUUUGUGGGGUUCUCGAGUGGCGAACGGGUGAGUAACACGUGAGUAUCCUGCCCUUGACUUUGUGAUAACUUCAGGAAACUGGGGCUAAUACCCGAUAGGAGCUCCUGCUGCAUGUGGGUCGUUGGAAAGUUUCGGCGGUUGUGGAUCGACUCGCGGCUUCUCAGCUUGUUGGUGGGGUAGUGGCUUACCAAGCCUUUGACGGCUAGCCGGCCUGGGAGGGUGAACGGCCACAUUGGGACUGCGGGACGGCCCAGACUGCUACGGGAGGCAGCAGUGGAGAGUAUUGCACAAUGGGCGGGAGCGUGAGGCAGCAACGCCGCGUGCGGGAUGACGGCUUACGGGUUGUAAACCGCUGUCGCCUGUGACGAAGCGUGAGUGACGGUAAUGGGUAAAGAAGCACCGGCUAACUACGUG
rnacentral:rRNA from 1 species